rnacentral:rRNA from 1 species
AACAGGAUUAGAUACCCUGGUAGUCCACGCCGUAAACGAUGAGUGCUAGGUGUUGGGGGGCUACGCCCCUCAGUGCCGAAGGUAACCCAUUAAGCACUCCGCCUGGGGAGUACGGCCGCAAGGCUGAAACUCAAAGGAAUUGACGGGGGCCCGCACAAGCGGUGGAGCAUGUGGUUUAAUUCGAAGCAACACGAAGAACCUUACCAGGGCUUGACAUCCCGCUGACCCCUCCAGAGAUGGAGGUUUCCUUCGGGACAGCGGUGACAGGUGGUGCAUGGUUGUCGUCAGCUCGUGUCGUGAGAUGUUGGGUUCAGUCCCGCAACGAGCGCAACCCUUGUCGUUAGUUGCCAGCAUUUCGGAUGGGCACUCUAACGAGACAGCCGGUGAAAGCCGGAGGAAGGUGGGGAUGACGUCAAAUCAUCAUGCCCCUUAUGUCCUGGGCUACACACGUGCUACAAUGGCUGGUACAAAGGGCAGCGAACCCGCGAGGGGGAGCCAAUCCCAAAAAGCCAGUCUCAGUUCGGAUCGCAGGCUGCAACUCGCCUGCGUGAAGCCGGAAUCGCUAGUAAUCGCGGAUCAGCAUGCCGCGGUGAAUAUGUUCCCGGGCCUUGUACACACCGCCCGUCACACCACGAGAGUUUGCAACACCCGAAGUCGGUGAGGCAACCUUUUAGGAGCCAGCCGCCGAAGGUGGGGCAGAUGAUUGGGGUGAAGUCGUAACAAGGUAACC